rnacentral:sRNA from 1 species
AUAUCUCUCUGUACGGGAAGGAUGAGAAGCUUCGACCAAGGUUCGAUUCGAGCGUCAGCGAGAAAGCGUUGCCGCAGGCAACGACCCGAAGGGCAAAGCGCGCAGCGCUGAGUCAUCCUUCCCCCACCACCA